UUCGUGUCUUUUCGUUGUUGGCUCUGCUGUUCAAAGAUUAUAUCUGGUUAAGCUAGCUCACUGUUCAGCGAGGAAGCUACACACACACACACACACACACACACACACACACACACACACACACACACACACACACACACACACGGUGAACGGUUAACGGUUAACGGCGGCCGUUGGGCUAACUUAGCAUUAGCUCGCUAACACGUUUAAAGGGAAACAAACGGCUCUCGUUCGAGAAUCAGCAACGGAAUUCUGUCGCCGUUAGCAACGUUAGCUCGACGAGAGAGUUAGCCUAGCGCUGUAAUGUGUGCCCCCCCCCCCAGCGGACUUGACAACACAAUGUGAAGGAUUAGCGAGGACUUUUUUCUUUCUUUCUUUCUGUUUUUAUUGUUUAACCUUUUUUUUGUGGCUGGUGGAGGGGGAGGGGGGUUUGUUUUUCUUGGUAAACACGGUGAUUGUGUUAAUUGUGCUGGCUAGCGUGUGUAGCAUGCUAUCAGCAAAGGGAGAACAAAUAGAGGGUUUAAAAAAAAAAAAAAAAAAAAGCACAACAGAGACGAUCUUUGAUCAACUACAUUGAUUACACGAGAUGCUGCUCUCUGAUUGGUCGACCUGUUACCAUCCGGAACACGGUAGAAGGCGGGGCUUCAGCACACAGCUGAUCGAGGAACAACAAGCGUGCUGUGCGGGGCACAUGCAGCCAAGGCUAAGGGGGAUGGGGGGGAUGGGGGGGCUGGGAACAUCCAGUCCCAUGGCAGGGGACAGGGCUUUAUAGUGUGCUGAGGGCUGAGUGGGCGAACAUGUUGUUUCCACUUUAACAGCACUAACGUCUUUAAAACAGACAACUUAUUGAUCAGUGGCCGAGACUUUUGCUGCGUUAUUCCUCCCCGUAAACUUUGACCAGACAAAAACAAGCAUGUUUGAAGAUGUCGGCUUUUGCAAUAAGGAUUUUUCAACAUUUAGGUUGAUUGAGAAUGAAAAUAAUUGUUUGUUGCAGCCCUGCAGACGGCAUACAUAGUGAGCAUAGCUUUGAUCCUUUAUAUUUGAGUAUAUUAAGGUUAAAACGUUUUACAUGAAAACUUUUGUAGAUUGAGACACAAUCAGUUUAAAAAUAGAAAAAAAUGACCCUAAUAUACACAUUCAUUUAGAAUCUGAUGAGAUUUAUUCCCUUACAUUUCCAUAUUUAAUUAAUUCUCUAUAAUAACCGCUCAUUAAACAUACUAUAAAGUAAUUGUUUAUUAACCCUCACUUUAAACUGUUGGUAAUAAACACACAAUAUGAUACACAUCUACGGUUUGACCAGGAGCUACGUAACAUCUUUAUUUUCGUUAACUAUUGUUUCGUUUCACUGCCGUUAUUAUAAAAUAUGGAUGAUGAAUCUAAUAAUAGACA